CUCAGUGUGUGGUCGCUAAGCUAACACGUCUCUCAUUAGCGCACAUUAAUCAUUAUUAACUAGCGUCAGAAUGGACCAUGUCUAUGGGAAUAUGAAUGCGCCUGCAGUCAGGAAGAACAUGUCUGGCUCCAGGCUCCCUGAGGCCACAGAUCCUCCGUGUGCCGGUGGCGGAGAAGGAGAAGUUUCCAAGUCCAGAAGGGUUGCGCUGCUUCCUUUGGCUCUUGGCCUCGGCCUGCUUUUCACCCUUCCAGCUCUUGCUGCAGUGAUCCACCUCUAUACCAAUGAACAAGCAAAGCUUCAUCGGAUGGAAAAACUGCACAGGAAUUUGUCCACAACCUUGAAUACC